rnacentral:rRNA from 1 species
UACGGAGGAUGCAAGCGUUAUCCGGAUUUAUUGGGCGUAAAGCGUCCGCAGGUGGCUCUUCAAGUCUGCUGUCAAAGCGCGGAGCUUAACUCCGUAAAGGCGGUGGAAACUGGGGAGCUAGAGUCUGGUAGGGGUCACGGGAAUUCCCAGUGUAGCGGUGAAAUGCGUAGAUAUUGGGAAGAACACCAGCGGCGAAAGCGCGUGACUGGGCCGGAACUGACACUGAGGGACGAAAGCUAGGGGAGCGAAAGGG